AAGGUUCGCUUAGCCGCGAUUAAUUGGGAACUGGAGUGUGAAUCUCCGACUGUCCCGCAGCAGUGAACUCCGUUAUGGCUUCCAGACAACAAGGCCAUUGCCCGUUUGGGCGAGAAGGCGUCUGGGAGUGGAGGAAAGUCUGAAGACCAGCCUUUUUCG
rnacentral:ncRNA from 1 species